UACGUAGGGUGCAAGCGUUGUCCGGAAUUAUUGGGCGUAAAGAGCUCGUAGGCGGUUUGUUGCGUCGGCUGUGAAAUCCCGAGGCUCAACCUCGGGUCUGCAGUCGAUACGAGCAAACUAGAGUGUUGCAGGGGAGACUGGAAUUCCUGGUGUAGCUGUGAAAUGCGCAGAUAUCAGGAGGAACACCGGUGGCGAAGGCGGGUCUCUGGGCAACAACUGACGCUGAGGAGCGAAAGCGUGGGGAGCGAACAGG
rnacentral:rRNA from 1 species